GACGAACGCUGGCGGCGUGCUUAACACAUGCAAGUCGAACGAAGUGGCGAACGGGUGAGUAACGCGUAAUCAACCUGCCCUUCAGAGGGGGACAACAGUUGGAAACGACUGCUAAUCCCGCUUACUGAAGGAGGGGAUUGCGUCUGAUUGGCUAGUUGGAGGGGUAACGGCCCACCAAGGCGAUGAUCAGUAGCCGGUCUGAGGGGAUGAACGGCCACAUUGGGACUUAGACAAGGCCCAGACUCCUACGGGAGGCAGCAGUGGGGAAUUUUCCGACAUUGACGAAAGUCUGACGGAGCAACGCCGCGUGAGUUAAGACGGCCUUCGGGUUUUAAAGCUCUGUUAAUCGGGACGCGUUACCGGAAUAGAAAGCCACGGCUAACUACGUGCCAGCAGCCGCGGUAAUAC
rnacentral:rRNA from 1 species